UACAGAGGGUGCAAGCGUUGUUCGGAAUUACUGGGCGUAAAGCGCGCGCAGGCGGUCUUCCAAGUCAGUGGUGAAAGCCCGGAGCUCAACUCCGGAACUGCCAUUGAAACUGUUAGACUUGAGGAUGAGAGAGGUGAGUGGAAUUCCCAGUGUAGAGGUGAAAUUCGUAGAUAUUGGGAAGAACACCUAUGGCGAAGGCAGCUCUCUGGGACGGUACUGACGCUGAGACGCGAAAGCGUGGGGAGCGAACAGG
rnacentral:rRNA from 1 species